AGAUCCUGUGGUUCACUGUGAGACCUCCGCCUCUCUCGUCUGCCUCACGCUGCCCCCUCGCACCCCCAAGGUAUGACGGCAUUUGAACAAUGCACGUGCCCAUCUAGAGCCUUGGGGUGGGCCUGUGAGAGAGUGGCCGCCCACCCCAGUCCCCACCAGGUGCAUAGUCCUGCGGCUAAGUCAGGGCGGUUGUAACAAAGGCUCAGACCCUCCAACUACCAGGCUGUGUUGUGACGAGGCUGCUGGAGCCCCAGGCACCAUGACGGGAAUGGGUGAAUCCACCCACAGUGGGUGACUCUCAAUGUGAUACUAGCCCGGUACACUUAGACACCCAAAAAUCAACGCGGCAGACGUUGUAUCCCCAGGAGAAGGACCCCCCCGAACAGACACGUGGGACAAUGGCAAGCAUGGCCAUCCCUGAGGACAAUGGCAGGACCCAGAGUGCCUCUCUCCUCCUCAAGGCAUGAACUGGCCCCUCCAGAUACAGGGACAACCUUUUCUUCCCACCUCGGCCUGUAACAGACACGACACAGGCCAUACCCUUGGCUAGAGUCACUGCAACAUGAUCCAGAGGGUGACUGUGAAAGGAGCCAGCGGGGCUGCUGUGUCGGUUUUCCUGGAGACACGGAAAUGGGUACAAACUUAAAACAUCUGGGCAGAGGUCUUUGGGAUAAAGUCCAGAAAAUCACAGCUGGCUCCAUCAUUCAGGAAUUGAUUUCCCCCAUGACACCAUCGGAUGCAACCUUGUCCCUGCCGCCUCCAGCUCUCCUUGAUUUCCCCUCUGAGCUCACAAAAAGAAACAAAAGCUCAGAGAGGCUGAAUAACUUUCCCAGCUUACACGGAGGAGCUGGGUUUGAAUCCAGACAUCACACUGAUCAGCACGCAGACCCGCAGGGUUUCAUACUCUUCCGGCAUUUCACGUACACCUCUCUCCAUCUCACCGCCUCACCAUAGGAGGUGAGGCCUAUUCCUAUCCGCACAAUCUGACAGGGAAAUUGAGACUCAGAGAGGUUAAGUAACUUGCCUAAGGCCACAUAGCUCGUAAUCAGGGCAGCAGGGAUUCCGGGCCGAGCAGGCAGGCCCCUGAUCCAGGCUCCUAGCCUGCUGCCCAGGGAGGUCAGAGCUGGAAACCACUUCCACAGCACAAGGAGACUCUGCUUGGACUGUGCUUGGCCUCACGUGACCUCUGACCUCCCUGGCCCUCCUGUGACCCUGACAGGUGUGCUGAGCUUCUGAAGGGUGGGAAGGCCUGCAAGGGGCCUGCGUGCAUUCUGUGUGCAUCGACCCAGGACACCACGGUUGGUGCCUCUGAGUUCAUCACGUCGAUCAUCCCCAUCUUCUUUCUGCUCAAGUACUUGAUUUGUCAACAUGCACAGAAGGGUGAGACCUGGCCAUGGUGCUGCUUGAAUCUUGUUAACAGUUAGGCUCUGAUUCAAUAGUCUGGGUGGGGCCCAAGACUCUGCAUUUCUUUUUCUUUUCUUUUUUCUUUUUUGAGACGGAGUCUUGCUCUGUUGCCCAGGCUGGAGUGCAGUGGUGCAAUCUCAGCUCACUGCAACCUCCCCCUCCUGGGUUCAUGCAAUUCUCUUGCCUCAGCCUCCCAAGUAGCUGGGACUAUAGGCACGCGCCACCAUGCCUGGCUAAUUUUUGUAUUUUUAGUAGAGAUAGGGUUUCACCAUGCCGGCCAGGCUGGUCUCAAACUCCUGACCUCAAGUGAUCUGCCCGCCUUGGCCUCCCAAAGUGCUGGGAUUCCAGGCAUGAGCCCCCGCACCCGCCAGACUCUGCAUCUCUAAAGUGCUGGGAUUCCGGGUGUGAGCCCCCACGCCCGCCAGACUCUGCAUCUCUAAAGCGCUCCCAGGGAUGCUGAUGCUGCCAUCUGGGGGACCACGCUUGGAGUACUGCGGCCCUGGCAAACCAUCUCUUCCAGGAAGCUGCAUCUUGCUCUGCCUUCCUCCCCUGCCAGCAGCUCAGCCCUGAUCAUCUCUCACCUGAGGCCCUUAAAAGCCUCCCAAUCAGCCUCUCUGCCCCCGACCCCCAGGCCUGCACCCCGUCCUCUCCCGCACUGCAGCCCAGCGCUGUCUAACUGAGAGACCUGGGUUACAUUUCAGCAUCCCCCAUGUGAUUCCCUGCUGUCCACACCAGCAAGUCUCUGAGUGCAACCCGCAGCCACGUGCAUCAUAAUCAGCUGAGCUGCUGGUGAAGGGGUAGAUUCCUGGGCCUCACCCCUGACAGAUCCUAUCCCAGCCCCUGCGGGAGGGGCCCAGGAAUGCAGCCAGUUCACCAGCUGCCCUGCCAAAGCCUGGCAAUCUCUGGGCCUAGAGGCUUGAGAACGGUCAAGCAGCUCGCCCUGGCUCCCCUGGGAGCCACCCUAGCCUGGAACGCUGCACACCAGACAGGGGUGGUAGAGCUCCUGGCCAUUCCCAAAUGCCCCACACCCAGCAGCGCCUGGAAUGUGCUCAUGCAGGUUCCUCGUGACAUGGACACACCCCCUUCCCCAUCCUACCCGCAUGUCCCCAGCCCAGGCCUCGUUCCCACUCCCCCAGGAUGCCCCAACCCUCCAAGGGAACAAAGAGAAUGCUCUUCCCUUUCUCCAGAAGCCCAGCACCCGGGCCACAUAGUCAAGCGCUUUGUCUUUGAAACAUAAAAAUAGCUAUAGAAGGGCUCCGUUAGCUGGCAUCGGCCAGAGAGAGAACAUUUCCAUAUAAUUAGAGCUUACCCUUUCAUAUGGAAAGUUAGACAUUUCUCUGUCUAAGGCGCCUACGUAGAAUAUGUAAUUUGACCUUCUUUGGGGGAAAUUUUGGAUUGUCUUUGGGAUGAUAAUAUAGGAAAUCCCUCGAGGGCUUUUAAAAUGUAAAGAACAGAGGUCCCAUAAACUAAGUGACCCCAGAAUGC
rnacentral:lncRNA from 1 species